AUGUGGCAAACAUGUCUACGCGGCCUGCUUCGAGGGCGGAAGGCGAAAACCCCAACCAAAGGUCCACACGCUGAGGACAUCAGAGUGCAUCCCAAAGCCCCCGCGAGCCAGGCUCUGCUUUGGAAACAUCACUGCGUGUAGCCCUCACAUCAACUUUGUCAGGUAGGCAUAAGCAUCCUCGUUUCACACACGAGAACACAGACGCUGAGAGAUGGUGAGCAAAUUGCUGAUGUGGCAGAGCCAAGUUUGAACUUCGAUCUGCCAGCCUGUGUGCUGCACGCACUGCACUGCUUGCUGCUUAAAGCACUCCUACAGAAUGACUGGGAAGAAUUCCACCGCUUUGGAUAAGGACAUGAUCAGUAGGAACUAAACCAAGUGAAUUCACGCUGCACAACAUACAGUAUCAGGCUGCCCCCCGUGGCCCAAUGUCCCCGCUGGCUCCCUGGAGACUCGGAACCUUGGCGGUUCCUUUUUGAACUCUUGUAGCGUGUGAUGCAGUAAGGGUGACAGGGGCACCAUCAGACGAAUGUUCGCUUUGUUAUAAGACCAUGGAAGACCUAGGUGCUCCCUGCCGGUGUUUUAUUUCCAACAGUCACAUUCUAAACACUCAUGCUCCUCAUAUUGGAGAGGGAACCAGAAAUUGUGAGACAGUUCUGGAAACCACAUCAACUAAGACCAGUUCAGAGAAGACAGGACCUGGUGAGAGCUUGAGCUGUGUGUUAUUUCUCCAGGAAGCCUUGCCAUAUUGCGAAGAGCGGCCUUCUGUAUGUUCCAUCAGAGCUGAGAAUGAAAACCAGUAGUUGGAAGUAAAGUGGAAGCAUAUUUUUGGCUCAAAAGUUGAAAGAAUGUUUCAACGACUGCAAAUAGCUAACAAUGGAAUGAGCUGUUGAGAUGAUAAGCCCACCCAACCCUGAAGGUGUCCAAGCAAGAUCUAGAUGAUAUCUGUCAGGGUGCUGUGGGAGACCUACAAUCCAAUUAAUCUUCGUAACAGCCCUGCAAAGGAAGCAUGCUACGUCAGUCACUACCAUCCAUUUCUACUGUACAAGGUUCCCGCACUGUAAAUGGCCUAAGACAUAAUGAGUGAUACCUCAAAGACAGUUUAGACCACAUUGGCAGAAACUAUUUUGAUCGAUGCCUUACAGAAACUAGCUGAAAAUUUUAGACUCUUGGUUAAAAUUUGUUUGCAGUUUUGAUUUUUGCUUUUUAAUGCAGGUGGUCAUUGAGGCACAUGGAGCCAGGCAGAAGUGAAUACAUUGCUCAGAACAUCAUGUACUUGCGGUACAUACUUUUUAUGAGCCUACCAGUGCUUUCCAGUGCUUAAAUUUUUAGAAUGAGUUUCACAUCCUAAUGAUACAUUCAGGCUGGGAGACUAGAUAUUGUAACAGGUCUCGACUGAAUCAUCUGUUCUGUCACAACACUGGCCUUUGGAGGCACCCAGAAGAAAACAACGUGCAAAUAUUAGUUAACCCACAUGCUGAUUAGAGGAUGUUUACAAAUGAUCACCUGGAGACACCCUCCAGUGCUGCUGGGGUUCUACUAGAGCUGUUACUGAGCCUGUGAAUCACCGGAGAUAGCCAUCUUUCUUCUAAAGCUGGAAAACAUCCCUCAUCAGAUAUAUACAUUCCAACAUUUAAGGCAGGCAAAGCUUUUAUUUAAAGAAUCGCGUUACUAGACUUAUUAUGGUGAUCACUUUGUAAGGUAUGUAUAUGUUGAAUCACUAUGUUGUACACCUGAAACUAAUAUAAUAUUGUAUAUCAACUAUAAUGUUAAAAAUUUUUAAUUAAAGAAAAAGAAUUGGCAGACAGAUAUGGGGUAAGGAAGGGGCAUUCCAGGCAGAGGGGCCAUAUGAGUAAAGGCAGGAAGGCAUGGAAAGGAGGAGCCUCUGCAGUUUUUGUUUUUUAAAUAUAUUGUUAUUGAUUUCAGAGAGGAAGGGAGAGAGCUAGAAACAUCCAUGAUCAGAAUCACUGAUCGGCUGCCUCUUGCACACACCCUACUGAGGAUCGAGCCCACAUCCCGGGCAUGUGCCCUGACUGGGAAUCGAACCUCAAGCUCCUGGUUCAUAGGUCAAUGCUCAACCACUGAGCCACACCAACCAGGCAAGAACCUCUUCAGUGUAACCAGAGUGCACAGUGUGUGCCAGGAGCACCAGGAGGCUGGACAGGUGGCUUGGAGCCAUAACAUGAGGCCCCUCUGUUGGCAAGCUUCAGAGAGGACUUAGUGCUACAGUCCAGUGCUUCUCAAAUGUGCAUCCCCAAAUAGGAGAACAAUGGAACAUCAAAAGUUUUAAAUUACCAGGUAAAGCAUGCCAUUUCUAAAGCUCUAGAAUGGAGUUUUUAACCCAAAAAUGCAAUGUCUUAGGAUCAGUUUUUCUGAAGACAUUUCUCAUGGUAGCCAUCAAUGACCCCACUGGCUGGCAGGAGGAAUGUUUCAUAGCUUUUCUUCCUCCACUCUGGAUCACCCAAGUGGUGAGAGGAGAUGAGGGAUUAUGAGGUUUCUUCUGAAACAUCUUGAGUUUCACAUCCACUACAGAAAUGGCAACUAGAAGAACAAGCAAAGACCCAGAGAUUUGCCUUGUGUAGGAAACCCUGACAUGGCCCAAACAGGGAAGUCAACAUGGUCUUCUUCUAAGCUAACCCUUUACAAAGGUCUGCCCGGGCCAACCUGGGCAUGUGCUUUAGGGCAGAUCAGAAUGGGGAAAGAAGGCGAAAGGUUUUUUACCAGUAGUAGGGAUGGGAGCAAGUCCGUCUUAAAUCCUACCCUAUUGGCCUGGUCGAUAUAAGAAAAUUAUAACCAUCCACAUUGAAGUAUUAUUGACCAGAGCUAAAUGCAUGGCUUCAUUUUAUGUUUUAUUGGGGGGCUCCUAGAGUAAAAUGCUUUAGUCCACUCCAGUUGGAGGAUAUUGUAUUCUUUAUUUUUAUUUUAUUCUUAUAAUUUAUUUAUUUAUUUAUUUAUUUAUUUAUUUAUUUAUUUAUUUAUUAUGUUAAUCCUUACCCAAGGAUAUUUUUCUACUGAUUUUUAGAGAGAGUGGAAAGGAGGGGGAGAGACAGAAAGAAGCAUUGAUGUGAGAAAGACACGUCAAUUGGUUGCCUCCGGCACGCGCCCUGACCAUGGCCAGGGAUCAAGCCACAACCAAUAUGUGCCCUUGAUUGGAACCGAACCCAGGACCCUUCAGUCCGUAGGAUGACGCUCUAUCCACGGAGCCAAACCAGUUAGGGCUGGAGGAUAUUACAUUCUGAAGCAACACUGAGAAAGAGAUGACACCCUGAUCCAGCAGCUGGAAGACUUGGGCUCUUUCCCUGGUUCUGCAACUCUGGGUUUGAGCAAGAACUUAUCUUCUCUGGGCCUUAGGUCCACUGGGGAGAGGAGGGAAGCUGUACUCAGUUGUCUGCAUAAUCCCUACCACCACUGGUCUUCAGUGAUUCCGCACCACCCACGGUGAGGCCAGCUCUGUGGAGAAACCGUGUCCUGAGCGGUGGUCGAGGCUCCACCACCCACCUCCCCUCCAACAGCUGGUUUCCCUGAACCAUGCCAAGUUUAAUUCCAUGGAGCCAUUCGCAUUUACCUCUGCACUGUCAGGGUAGAGGUUUCAGUACAAACAAGUAAGAAAAUGGUCUGGGAAACGAAAGGUCUCAUCUGGUUAGAAUGAAAGAGGAAGUUUCAAUCAUCGUCUCCUCAUCCCCAUAAUUGAGAACAUUUAGGCCCCAAAGAGAAACAAACACCAUCAAUCACUCUAAGGCAGUGGUUCUCAACCUUCCUAAUGCUGUGAUCCUUUAAUACAGUUCCUCAUGUUGUGGUGACCCCAACUAUAAAAUUAUUUUCGUUGCUACUUCAUAACUGUAAUUUUGCUACUGUUAUGAAUCGUAAUGUAAAUAUCUGAUAUGCAGGAUGUAUUUUCAUUGUUCGCGACCCACAGGUUGAGAACCGCUGCUCUAA